rnacentral:lncRNA from 1 species
UUAAAGUUAAUGAAUGCUUAAAUUAAUUUACUGACAAAAACAAAUGUCUGUCCUUCAGAUCCUAUAAUUUUAAUUGGAGUGGGCUACGGCUUAAUUAACAUGUAUUGAUUGUAGUCCUGAGUACAUCUAUAGGUGGGUGGACUGUGUUGGGAGAAAUCCUCCUCAGAGAUGAAGAUUUGCUGAUAACAUUCUGAAUAAUUGUCUUGUGAAGAGACAGAAGUCUUUGCUGUUUUCUCUGCAGAAAGCUUUAAACAAAAGGUAUUGUUUAUAAUUAAGGCAAAAAAAAGAUUGACACGGCUGCUUUUUUAUAGAUGGGAAGAGAAUUCUGCUGCAAAAAUAUUAAUGAAUUGACUCAUUAAUUAGGUGCAUGAAGAAAACAGAAAAUUGGAAGAGAGUUGGAGCAAAUAAAGAAGCGGAUGCAACUGGAAACUUUUUGGGGGAUAAAAAGGUGGGUCAGGCUGUCUCCCCUGAGGCGGGGAUGUACCUGCAGAGCUGUGGGUGAGGAGCAGCUGGGAGAAUCCUCCUCCUCCAUCCCUGUGUUCCUGGGAGCCGUGUCCAUCCUCAGGGAUGCGGGAUGUGCCCGCGAAGCGUGACUUGGAUUUCCACUGCUGUGAAAAUGGAGAAUAAACCACCAGUGCAAUCCA